UGGGGAAUCUUGCACAAUGGGGGCAACCCUGAUGCAGCGACGCCGCGUGAGCGAUGAAGCCCUUCGGGGUGUAAAGCUCUUUCGGCAGGGAAGAUAAUGACGGUACCUGCAGAAGCAGCUGCGGCUAACUACGUGCCAGCAGCCGCGGUAAUACGUAGGCAGCGAGCGUUGUUCGGAGUUACUGGGCGUAAAGGGUGUGUAGGCGGUUGUUUAAGUUUGGUGUGAAAUCUCCCGGCUCAACUGGGAGGGUGCGCCGAAUACUGAGAGGCUAGAGUGCGGGAGAGGAAAGUGGAAUUCCUGGUGUAGCGGUGAAAUGCGUAGAUAUCAGGAGGAACACCGGUGGUGUAAACGGCUUUCUGGACCGUAACUGACGCUGAGGCACGAAAGCGUGGGUAGCAAACA
rnacentral:rRNA from 1 species